UUUUUCCUUUUUUUUUCCUUUUCUUUUUCUUUUUUCUUCCGGCUAGGCGCCGUA
rnacentral:ribozyme from 12 species